rnacentral:lncRNA from 1 species
UUUUAAAGUACCGGUCUUUGUAAGAAUCAUGCAGGUUCCUGUUGAUGGGCGAUUCAUGACCCCUCUUCAAAUGUCUUUAUAUUUUGUUUAUGAUGAAGGUAUGGUAUGAAAAUAAGUUUUCUGUAUUAAUUUUUUCUUUUCAACUUUGGUUGCCAUGGAAACCAUCCUUACAAAAUUUUGCCUAAAUACGUCCAUAAGUAGCCUUUGAAAAUUGAAAUAUAAUGGAUUUUAAAGAACCAUAGAAAUAAAGUUAAUCAAUA